GUACUGCGGAGACAUUA
rnacentral:rRNA from 1 species